GUGAUAACUUUGGCAGUACAUAUGCUAAAACUGUAAUGAAUCAGAGAAGAUUACCAUGGCCCCUGCUCAAGGAUGACAUGCAAAUUCAUGAACCAUUUUAUAUUUUU
ensembl:snRNA U6 U6 spliceosomal RNA